rnacentral:rRNA from 1 species
CCCUACGGGGUGCACCAGGCGCGAAAACUUUACAAUGCGGGCAACCGUGAUAAGGGAACCUCGAGUGCCUGUAAAUGCAGGCUGUUUAGGUGUUUAAAACGCACCUGGAGAAAGGGCCGGGCAAGACCGGUGCCAGCCGCCGCGGUAA